UACGUAGGGAGCAAGCGUUGUCCGGAAUCAUUGGGCGUAAAGCGCGCGUAGGUGGCCUCAUAAGUCCGCUGUGAAAGUCAAAGGCUCAACCUUUGAAAGCCGGUGGAUACUGUGAGGCUAGAGUACGGAAGAGGCGAGUGGAAUUCCUGGUGUAGCGGUGGAAUGCGCAGAUAGUCAGGAGGAACACCAGUGGCGAAGGCGACUUACUGGACUGUAACUGACGCUGAGGCAUGAAGCGUGGGGAGCAAACAGGA
rnacentral:rRNA from 1 species